rnacentral:rRNA from 1 species
AUUGAACGCUGGCGGCAUGCCUUACACAUGCAAGUCGAACGGUAACGCGGGGCAACCUGGCGACGAGUGGCGAACGGGUGAGUAAUGCAUCGGAACGUGCCCAGUAGUGGGGGAUAGCCCGGCGAAAGCCGGAUUAAUACCGCAUACGACCUACGGGUGAAAGGGGGGGAUCGCAAGACCUCUCGCUAUUGGAGCGGCCGAUGUCGGAUUAGGUAGUUGGUGGGGUAAAGGCCUACCAAGCCGACGAUCUGUAGCUGGUCUGAGAGGACGACCAGCCACACUGGGACUGAGACACGGCCCAGACUCCUACGGGAGGCAGCAGUGGGGAAUUUUGGACAAUGGGCGCAAGCCUGAUCCAGCCAUGCCGCGUGCGGGAAGAAGGCCUUCGGGUUGUAAACCGCUUUUGUCAGGGAAGAAACGCUCCGGGCUAAUACCUCGGGGUAAUGACGGUACCUGAAGAAUAAGCACCGGCUAACUACGUGCCAGCCGCCGCUGUAAUAC